AUUUGCCCAUUGCAGACUCAAAGGACCAGACUGACAAUGCAAUUCCAUGCGAUACCAACAAUGAUAUUGCUGACUAUGCAACAGUUGAGGAAAAACCUGAAGAAACAGUAGUUGAAGAAAAACAUGAAGAACCUGCAAUUGAAAAGAAAUUUGAAGAAUCAACAGUUAUGGAGAAACCUGAAGAACCAGCAGUGGAAGAAAAACCUGAAGAACCAACAGUUAAAGAGGAACCUGAAAAAUCAGUGAUGGAAGAGAAACCUGAAGAACCAAUUGUUGAGGAGAAACUUGAAGAACCAACUGUUGAAGAGAAACCUGAAAAAUCACUGAUUGAAGAAACACCUGAAGAACCAAUAUGGGAAGAAACACCUAAAGAACUAGCAUUUGAAGAGAAACCAGAAGAACCAGCAGUUGAAGAGGAGAAACCUGAAAAGGUAACUCUUUUGGAAGAGGUGAGUAUCAAGCAUUAGCACAUAGUUUAUCCAUCAUGUUAUUUCUGUAUGUGCAUCGAUUCACAUCUGCUUAUCUAUUGAAAGUCUAAAUGAGACUUUAAAUUCUUCUUGCAGAAUAUACCAGCUGUAGAUUUCAACGACAAGACUGACCGUGAAAUUCCAUGCGAUACCAACAAUGAUAUUGCUGACUAUGCAACAGUUGAGGAAAAACCUGAAGAACCGGUAGUUGAAGAAAAACAUGAAGAACCUGCAAUUGAAAAGAAAUUUGAAGAAUCAACGGUUAUGGAGAAACCUGAAAAACCAGUGGUUAAGGUACAACCUGAAGAACCAGCAGUGGAAGAAAAAGUUGAAGAACCAACAGUUAAUGAGGAACCUGAAAAAUCAGCGAUGGAAGAGAACCCUGAAGAAUCAAUUGUUGAGGAGAAACUUGAAGAACCAACUGUUGAAGAGAAACCUGAAAAAUCACUGAUUGAAGAAACACCUGAAGAACCAAUAUGGAAAGAAACACCUAAAGAACUAGCAUUUGAAGAGCAACCAGAAGAACCAGCAGUUGAAGAGGAGAAACCUGAAAAGGUAUCUCUUUUGGAAGAGGUGAGUAUCAAGCAUUAUCACAUAGUUUAUCCAUCCUGUUAUUUCUGUAUGUGCGACGAUUCACAUCUGCUUAUCUAUUGAAAGACUAAAUGAGACUUUAAAUUCUUCUUGCAGAAUAUGCCAGCUGUAGAUUUCAACGACAAGACUGACUGUGAAAUUCCAUGCAAUACCAACAAUGAUGUUGCUGAAUAUGUAGCAAUUGAGGAAAACCUUGAAGAACCAGCAGUUGAAGAAAAACAUGAAGAACCAACAGUUGAGGAGAAACCUGAAGAACUAGCAGUUGAAGAGAAACCCGAAAAACCAACAAUUGAGGAGAAACAUGAAGAACCAAUAGUUGAGAAGAAACCUGAAGAACCAGUAGUUGAGGAGAAACCAGAAGAACCACUAAUUGAAGAGGAGAAAUCUGAAAGGGUAACUUUCCUAGAAAAGGUGAGGAUCAAGCAUUGUCAAAAGGUUUAUCCAUCUUAUUAGUUGUGUAUGUGCGACGAUUCACAUCUGCUUACUUAUUGAAAGACUAAGUGAAACUUCAAAAUUCUUGCAGAGUAUGCUAGUUGUAGACUCGAACGACAAGACUGACAGUGAAAUUCCAUGCAAUACCAACAAAGAUGCUGCCCACUUUCCCGAAGUUGAGGCAAACCCUGAAGAACCAGCAGUUGAAGGAAAACCUAAAGAACCCGUUGAUGAAGAGAAACCAGAUGUACCAGUGGUUGAGAAACCUGAAAAACAAAUGGUUGAGGAGAAACUUGAAGAACCAAUGAUUGAGGAGAAAUCUGACGAACUAGUCGAGGAGAAAUCUCAACAACCAGCGGCUGAAAAGAAACCUGAAGAACCAGCAGCUAAAGAAUCACUUAAAGAGCUAGCAGGGGAGGAAACAACUGAAGAACUAGCACUUGAAGAGAAACUUAGAGAACCAACAGUUGAAGAACUAGUUCUUGAAGAUAAACCUGAAAACCCAGAAAAUGAAGAGGAUAAACUUGAAACAGUAACUCUCCAGGAAAAGGUAAGAAACAAGCAGUGUCACAGAGUUUAUCCAUCCUAUUAGCUCUACAUAUGCAAUGAAUUCACAUCUGUUUAUCCACUGAAAGACUAAGUGAAACUUUAAAUUUUUCUUGCAGAAUUUACCAAUUGCAGACUCAAACGACAAGACUGACAAUGCAACUCCCUGCAAUAACAACAAUGAUAUUGCUGACUCUGCAGCAGUUAAGGAAAAAACUGAAGAACCAGUAGUUGAGGAAAAACAUGAAGAACCGGCAACUGAAGAGAAAUCUGAAGAAUCAGAAUUUAUGAAAAAAACUGAAGAACCAGCGGUUGAGGUAAAACCUGAAGAACCAUCAGUGGAAGAGAAGCCUGAAGAACCAGCGGUUAGGAAAAAUCCUGAAGAACCAGCAGUUAAUGAGGAACCUGCAAAAUCAGCAACGGAAGAGAAACCUGAAGAACCAAUUGCUGAGGAGAAACUUGAAGAACCAACUCUUAAAGAGAAACCUGGAAAACCAGUAAUUGAAGAAACACCUGAAGAACCAACACUGGAAGUAACACCUAAAGAACAAGCAGAGAAACCUGAAGAACCAGUUGAAGAGGAAAAAACUGACAAGGUAACUCUUUUGGAAAAGGUGAGCAUCAAACACUGUCACAAAUUUUUGCCAUCAUAUUAGUUCUGUAUGUGCAACAAUUCACAUCUAAUUAUCCAUUGAAAGACUAAGUGAAACUUUAAUUCUUCUUGCAGAAUAUACCAGUUGUAGAUUUCAAUGAUACGACUGACAGUGAAAUUCCAUGCAAUACCAACGACGAUGUUGCUGAAGACGUAGCAGUUGAGGAAAACCUUGAAGAACCAUCAGUUGAGGAGAAACCUGAAGAAUUAGCGGUUGAAGAGAAACCUGAAAAACCAGCAAUUGAGGAGAAACGUGAAGAACCAAUAAUUGAGAAGAAACCUAAAGAACCAGCAGUUGAGGAGAAACCUGAAGAACAAACCGUUGAAGAGAGACUUGAAGAACCAACAAUUGAAGAUGAGAAACUUGAAGAACCAACAAAUGAAGAUGAGAAACUUGAAAGGGUAACUCUCCUAGGAAAGGUGAGGAUCUAGCACUGUCACAAAGUUUGUCCAUCCUAAUAGUUUUAUACGUGCAAGACUUUCAGAUCUGCUUAUUGAAAAACUAAAUGAAACUUUAAAUUCUUCUUACAGAAUAUGCAAGUUGUAGACUCCAUCGACAAGACUGACUGUGAAAUUCCAUGCAACACCAACAAUGAUGUUGCUUACCAUCCAGCAGUUGAGGAAAAUCUAGAAAAAACAGCAAUUGUGGAAACAACUGAUGAACCAGUGGUUGAAGAGAAACCUGAUGUACCAGCGAUUAAGGAGAAACCUGAAGUACCAAAUAUUGAGCAGAAACUUGAAGAGUUAGCAGGAGAGGAAACACAUGAAGAACUAGCAGUUGAAGAGAAACUAGAAGAACCAAUUACUGAAGAGACACCUGCAGAACUAGUUAUAGAAGAGAAACCUGAAAACCCAGCAGUUGAAGAGGAGAAACCUGAAACAGACGCUCUCCAAACGAAGGUCAGGAUUAAACAUUGUCACAAAAUUUAUCCAUCCUAUUAGCUUUAUAUGUGCAAGGAACUCACAUAUGCUAAUCUAUUGAAAGACUAAGUCAAACUUUAAAUUUUUCUUGCAGAAUAUGCCAAUUGUAGACUCAAAGGACAAGAUUGACAUUGAAAGUCCAGGCAAUAUCAACAAUGAUGGUGCUGACUAUCCAGAAGUUGAAGAUAAACCUGAAGAACUAGCAGUUGAAGAAAAACAUGAAGAACAAGCAAUUGAAGAGAAGCCUGAAGAACCAGCAAUUAAGGAAAAAGCUGAUGAACCAGCAGUGCAAGAAAAACUUGAAGAACCAGCUGUGGAAAAGAAACCUGAAGAACCAGUGGCUACGGAGAAACCUGAAGAACCAGCAAUUAAGGAAAAAGCUGAUGAACCAGCAGCGCAGGAGAAACCUGAAGAACCAGCUGUGGGAAAGAAACCUGAAGAACCAGUGGCUACGGAGAAACCUAAAGAACCAGCAAUUAAGGAAAAAGCUGAUGAACCAGCAGUGCAAGAGAAACCUGAAGAACCAGCUGUGGAAAAGAUACCUGAAGAACCAGCAGUCGAGGAGAAAUUUGACGAACCAGCAGUUGGAGAGAAAUCAGAAGAACCAGUAGUUGAACAAACACCUGCAGGACCAGCAUGGGAAGAAACACCUAAAGAACUAGCAUUUGAAGAGAAACCUGAAGAACCAGCAGUUGAAGAAACACCUGAAGAACCAGCAGUUGAAGAAACACCUGAAGAACUAGCAGUUGAAAAGAACCCUGAAAAAACAGCAGUCGGAGAGAAACAUGAAAAAGUAACUCU
rnacentral:lncRNA from 1 species